GGGGGUGUACCGGUUUCGACGGGGUCGUUGAUACUGAGAAAGCGGGUGGAGGAUUCUCGUUGGCCUCCUUAAAAAACGGGAAACGCAAGUAAUUGCAAACGACACACAGCUCGUAGCUGCUUAAUUUAGCUACCGUCUUCUUCGGCCUUCUGCCACCUUAGAAAGACGUUGCCGGCAGACCUUACCCGGGAGAGGAUAAACGGGACCACCUCAUAGGCAAAGCUUUGAGCCUUUGUUGUAUCCAUGAAGCUACCGGCGGGCACGCCUGACAGCGGGCUCUGUCCAAAGGGAAAUCCUUAAACACUGUCUGCACCCGGAGACGUCUCAGAGGAUACGGUUUCGGACAGGAGUUCAACUCUCCUCACCUCCACCA
rnacentral:tmRNA from 1 species